GGUCGCGGUGUGUUUCAGUUACAAAACGGGAUUUUUUCGCUCCUCUCUCCCCUCUCUGCCUCAGAGGAUCUGCAGUUUCAAAAAGCCGAUUGAGCACGGCGUGAAAGCGCGAGGCUGACGACCGGGGGGGCCUCCUACCGCCACUAGCGCAAUCCUCGUUCCGUGCCCCGCAAGGAGGAGCCCCAGUGGAACCCACAGCGCAUCGCAUCCCCGCUUUCCCCCCCCCCUCAUAUCCCCGGCACCUCGCACCCCCCGUGGAUGUCACCAGCAUCGCUGUUUCAAGGCUGGGGAUGGUAUUCCCAGCUCAGCCGGGCGCUUUCAUUCAUAAAACUGCAAGAUUGUAUCCACGAAUGUGUGUAUAAUGAACUCAGAAGGAAUGCAGCACUAAAAGAAGCCUUUGUAAUGUUGCUAUUUUAAGGAGACCCUUGGGUUCACUGAAACAUCACGACUUACAUCAGCCAAAGCCUUUGAUCAGGGAGGGAAAGGUCUGACAUGGAUGGGGUUGACAGCCACGCUGCAAAAAUCCCUCAUUGUGCAAGAAGCCAGUCCAAUGACUGAGUGUCACCAAGGGUGAGACAGCCUUUUCUGCACUGUUUUCACUUGGCUAUUGCUGGUGUUUUGUUUGCAAAGUCAAGGCCAAAAUAUACAAGAAGCAGCUUUGGACACGUUGCAUUUGUGCAUUAAGCCGGAUAGCCAUGAUGAAUUUCUGGCCAUUUUUGUUGUAUGCGUUGUAAAGAGCAAAAUUUUGCUGUCAACCUUCUAUUUUUGCAUGGUCAGAGAGGAGAAGGAGUAGAAUAGAGGUGUAAUUGACACUGUUUGUCCAAAGCUGAAGUCGUAACUCCUGGCUGAGAUGACUGGAAGCUGUGUGUGUGAUGGCUUCUUUGUUGGCUCUUUAAGAAAAUAUCUGCUCUGGGUCUCAUGGACAAAACCCAGGGUGAAAAAUCCUCUCAGUGCAAAAUGAGAAGCCAGAUGAAAAGCCCAGAAAAGCUGUGGAUGCUCCACCUCUGGAGGUGCUCAAGGCCAGGCUGGAUGGGACCCUGGGUUUCCUGAUCUGGUGGGUGGUAAACCUGCCCAUGGCCCAGGGUUGGGACUGGAUGACCUUUGAGGAUGUUUUCAGCCUAAGCUAUUCUAUGAUUCAAUGACUUUCUCCAUUAGCAUCCAGCACUCAAGGAACGGGGUUGCUUUGGAAAUGAAUGUCAGAAUAAGGAAAAUAGGCUUUUUGUACUCACAGAAAACAAAUGCUCAAAAAGAAUGAGGGUGAGAGUCAAAGCUAUUAAAACACUUCCUGGGACAGUAUUUUGGUUUUCAGCAGCUUCCUCUUCUGUUUUGUUUCAAUUCCUUCUAAACCCUGCUCCUCGUCCUCCGAGUGGUAUGAAAUAAAAAAUAGUAAGAAAUAGAUUUUUCUGUACA
rnacentral:lncRNA from 1 species